AAGCUCGUAGUUGAAUUUCGGGAUCAAUUUAUUGGUCGUGCAAUAGUACGUACUGGUAUUAUUGAUUCCUACCUUCUGACGAACCAUGAUGUCAUUAAUUUGGUGUCAUGGGGAAUCAGGACUGUUACUUUGAAAAAAUUAGAGUGUUUAAAGCAGGCUCACGCUUGAAUACAUUAGCAUUGAAUAACGAAAUAGGACGUUUGAUUCUAUUUUGUUGGUUUCUAGGAUCGACGUAAUGAUUAAUAGGGAUAGUUGGG
rnacentral:rRNA from 1 species